UUAUGUUGGGAAUGGGAGUGAAAUGCGCAAUUCCCGCCAUUCGAAUUCCAGUAGUGCUGAAUAGUGCUGAGUAGUGCUGAGUAGUGCUGUACGAGUGGUCUAUGAACUCAACUGCUGUUCAUUUUGCAUUGGAAAAACAUCUGGAGUCCUUAUUUAUUAGUCCUGUUGAUUUUGCCGUACCAGAUGUGACAUUACGUGAGAAACUAAAUCAAUAAAGUUGGCAACCCACUACGCUGCCGCCCCGCCAUCUGCGCUCUUGACAAAGGAUCGCGGUCAUUGGUACUUAACCGCCUAGCGACGUUUCCCAAACUUGGACCUCUAUUUUGUCAGAAGUAUCAAAUUGUGUGCUCUGUAAUUAUAAAAACAAUUACCUAAUUAUACUAUUUCUUACUCCACGUACAACUAUAUUUUGGAAUUUAUAAAAGCAUGUAGCCCAUAAAUUUAGCUUUAUUUGUGACUCUGUUUCGAAUGAAAUAUUUCUGACGAAGCC